UUUUUUUCUUAGAUCCCGGUGGUUGAAGUACAGGACCCAGACAAAAAUAGGAUUAAUCAAUGGUUGAAUGUGAAACUCAAUCAGGGAAUUGCUGAGCUCUCCUUAGAUCUGACAUCUGAGCCCACACUGGGAGAAUACACCAUUAAACUGAAAGAUACAUCUCAUACCUUCAGUGUAGAGGAAUAUGUUCUUCAAAAAUUUGAGGUCAAUAUCAAGUUACCUAAAUAUGUUCUGUAUAACAGUGAAACGUUUCCAGCUGAAGUUUGUGCCAAGUACACAUAUGGAAAGCCAGUACAAGGGGAUUUUACAGCUUCUAUUUGCCGUGAAUCUUUAGCAUUUUAUUAUAUUA